rnacentral:lncRNA from 1 species
CAGAUUCUUACAGAAGGAUUGAGUUAUUGUAACUGAAAACUUGAAAACUAACCAGCAAAAAGUGCUCUGAGAUUAUGUUUGGUUGGAAGUGAACCCAGAUGGCUCUGUGAGUCUCCAACAGUUUGUAUGCUUAGGUAUGGCUAACUCCUCCAAGCUGUUCUGCAAUGUGGUACCUCCACUAUCUGGAGAACAAUAGCAGAGAGCUGUCAUAGGCCCUUAAAUAACUGCCAG